AUUGAACGCUGGCGGCAGGCCUAACACAUGCAAGUCGAGCGGAAGAAGGGAGCUUGCUCCUGGAUUCCGCGGCGCACGGGUGAGUAAUGCCUAGGAAUCUGCCUCGUAGUGGGGGAUAACGUCCGGAAACGGGCGCUAAUACCGCCUACGUCCUGAGGGAGAAAGUGGGGGGUCUUCGGACCUCACGCUAUCAGAUGAGCCUAGGUCGGAUUAGCUAGCUGGUGGGUUAAAGGCCUACCUAGGCGACGAUCCGUAACUGGUCUGAGAGGAUGAUCAGUCACACUGGAGGGUGAACACGGUCCAGAGGCCUACGGGACGCAGCAGUGGGGAAUAUGGGACAGUGGGGGGAAGCCUGAUACAGCCAUGCCGAGUGUGUGGAAGCGGUCUUCGGAGUGUAAAGCACGCUAAGGUGUGAGGAAGGGCAGUAAGCUGAGACGUUGCGGGUUUGACGGUAACAGGUAAAGAAGCACCGGCUAACUACGUG
rnacentral:rRNA from 1 species